AUACGUAGGGGGCGAGCGUUGUCCGGAAUGACUGGGCGUAAAGGGCGUGUAGGCGGCGGUGUAAGUCUGGAGUGAAAGUCCCGCAUUCAAUGUGGGAAUUGCUUUGGAUACUGCAGUGCUAGAGUGCGGAAGAGGUAAGUGGAAUUCCCAGUGUAGCGGUGAAAUGCGUAGAGAUUGGGAGGAACACCAGUGGCGAAGGCGACUUACUGGGCCGUAACUGGCGCUGAGGCUCGAACGCGUGGGGAGCAAACAGGAUGAGAUACCCUGGUAGUCCGCGCCGUAAACGAUGAAUACUAGGUAUAGGGGGUAUCGACUCCCGCUGUGCCGCAGUUAACACAAUAAGUAUUCCGCCUGGGGAGUACGGCCGCAAGGUUGAAACUCAAAGGAAUUGACGGGG
rnacentral:rRNA from 1 species